UUCACACGUGUGCUGUUCCGACCUACAAAAAUCAACACGUCAAGCAGCUCGUGAAAGUGAACUAACAAGACACACAAUACGUACGGUGUUGCAUAAGGAAUUGUAUUUUCGUCCGUGGAAACCCCAUUACGUGCGGGAGCUAAAAUUUGAAGAUGGUGACCGCAGAAGUCCAAAACUCCAGAACUCCAA